AACGAACGCUGGCGGCAUGCCUAACACAUGCAAGUCGAACGAGAUCUUCGGGUCUAGUGGCGCACGGGUGAGUAACGCGUGGGAAUCUGCCCUUUGGUUCGGAAUAACAGUUGGAAACGACUGCUAAUACCGGAUGAUGACGAAAGUCCAAAGAUUUAUCGCCAGAGGAUGAGCCCGCGUAGGAUUAGCUAGUUGGUGUGGUAAAGGCGCACCAAGGCGACGAUCCUUAGCUGGUCUGAGAGGAUGAUCAGCCACACUGGGACCGAGACACGGCCCAGACUCCUACGGGAGGCAGCAGUGGGGAAUAUUGGACAAUGGGCGAAAGCCUGAUCCAGCAAUGCCGCGUGAGUGAUGAAGGCCUUAGGGUUGUAAAGCUCUUUUACCCGGGAUGAUAAUGACAGUACCGGGAGAAUAAGCUCCGGCUAACUCCGUGCCAGCCGCCGCCGUAAUAC
rnacentral:rRNA from 1 species